ACCUAUGAGGAACAUCAAGAAGCAAGAGAAGUUCAAGAAGAGAAGACAGGACUGGAAUAAACAUUAUUCAGUAUUUUAUUCAGUCAUUUAUCUAUGAUAAAAAUAAUGGCAGCCAUGUUUAUACUGUAGAUGUACUUCCAAGUGCAAAAGCAUGGAGGCCUAUGGUAGAUCCAGUCAGUGCAUACGUCUAGCAUAAAUAGCAUACCUGAAGUGAGAGAAUGGAGAGCUGAGCUGAAGAAAGGAGGUUUUGUGUUUAUGUACACAGCCAAAAAUCCACGGGAACGUUUCAGGCCAGUGGGGAAAAUCAGCUGAAUACAGGCCGGAAUACGGGCCUGUAUGCAGAUGUAAUCGCCCACGGCCUGCUUACAUCCUGGAACCACAGGCCCGUUACAGCACGUACAUCCUGUCCUGAAUACAGCCCGUAAAUAACGGACCUGUUUCAGCCUGUACCACCCACGUCCUGCUUACAGCCUGUGCAGCUAGUGUAUGCGCAUGCGCAGAGAGAAAGUUGCUUAGCUACCAAAUCCACUAAGAGACUGAAAAGGUGCUUCAGUUUGAUCUUCUCCUUCAGUUGCAGCUUUAAAGGAUGGAUGGAGUAAUUAUAUUAUUUAUGGAGCUGACUGCCAAGGCCAGCUAGCAAGAAAAAGAGAGAGAGAGGAACUGCUAGAUGUCUCUGUAAUUCUUCUCUCACUGUCUCUAGGAGUCCAGCUCUAUAGGCUACAAGAUCUGGUUGACUCUGACGCAGGUUGUUGACUUCUAAUACAAUGUUAUAAGAAUACACAUCUAAAAAGAAGAAUAUGCACCUCUACAACGGCUACUAAAUAGAUGUACCUGUGUCUAUGUCAUCAUUACUGUACUGAUUGAGCUCGAGAUUGAGGUUCCUAUUCACACUACUUGAGAAUAUGUACAUAUAUAAAUUGGAAUGCUCAUGCCAUCAAUGAUUUCAACCCAUCAUGACCAGAAGCAUCGUGGACACACCUAUAUCGUGGACACACCUAUAUCGUGGACACACCUAUAUCGUGGACACACCUAUACUUUAGAAUUUGGCAGUUAAGUUACUGGCUCUGGACAUGGCUGGUCUGUGACAGUACAAACAGUCGAACAAAAAAGGUAUAAAUGUGACAGAGGACAUGGCUGGUCUGUGGACAGUACGAACAGUCGAACAACACAUUAUAAUGUGACACACUCGAGCAGCACAAGCACUAGAAGAAACAUUCUUAUUAGUGUUGUAAACUGUCAAACUGUCUGGCUAUGUUUGUUUCUUAAAAAUGUUAACACUUUGUGGAAUUAUUCAUGCCAAACUCA